rnacentral:rRNA from 1 species
ACAAGUACCGUGAGGGAAAGUUGCAAAGCACUUUGAAGAGAGAGUUAAACAGGACGUGAAACCGAUGAGGUGGAAACGGACAGAGUCGGCGUAUCUAGCCUGUAUUCAACUGGAGACCCAAGCACAUUGGGUAGGCCUUUUCCAGAUUGGACUGGUGAUCCAACUGUGUCGGGGUCUACAGUGCAUUUGCAAGUGGAGUGCGCUGAGGUGGUCGGGUUAGCUGCGUGAUCUCGGGUUUGAGGCCAGCCCCUCGGGGUAUGGUACCCGGCUCGGGGGAGUGCUGUUUAGCCUGUUCAACUUGUAUGGAAAUGGUAUCGGGUCCGGCUGGUAUCCAGCUAGCAACUGGUGGCGGUCGCAUGCGACACGUACUAGUGGUUGGUUGGGUCCUGGUCUGGCUCCCAUGUUUUCCAAUCCUCGGUGUAAAAACCGGUCAUCUGUCCGACCCGUCUUGAAACACGGACCAAGGAGUUUAGCGUGUGCGCGAGUCAUUGGGUGUUGGAAACUCAAAGGCGCAAUGAAAGUGAAGGUCUCUCUUGUGGAGCUGAUGUGUGACCCGGAUCACCGAGGUGGCCCGGAGCAACAUGGUCCCGUCCUGAUCGCUUGCGAUGGGGCGGAGACAGAGCGUACGCGCUGAGACCCGAAAGAUGGUGAACUAUUCCUGAGCAGGACGAAGCCAGAGGAAACUCUGGUGGAAGUCCGAAGCGAUUCUGACGUGCAAAUCGAUCGUCUGACUUGGGUAUAGGGGCGAGAGACUAAUCGAACCAUCUAGUAGCUGGUUCCUUCCGA